CCACAUCGACGAUCGCCUCCGUCGACAUAUAAAGUGUUGAGUGAUGGAAUCGAAUUCAAGUUUUAUCCAAGAAGCACUGCACAGAUGUGUGGCCUGGUCUGAUUCAGAAGGCAAAAGACGGCAGUCUAAAUGCCAUUGAUAUGCAUAUAUUUUGUUAUGUUCAUGAGCCUAAACAUCAAGAGAUAAACACUUGCAAUGGAAAUCAGAACAAGAAUUUCAAAGAAGUCCUCAAGAGUGACUGCCAUUUGACAACCAGACAUGAACCAUCUGGCGAUUUUCUCUAAUUGUUAAUCAACAGCAAGUGUGAAAGGAAUUACAAAUUUACAACAAACGACUUUUGCAUCAUCAAAUCAGAGAUUUUGUAUCUGGUGUGAGUGAGACGAAAGACAAGCCCAAUAGAAGAGGCGCUAUGAGGUUACAUCAGCCAAUGUCAAUUCAAAGGUAAUUUUGCAAGAGGGAAAAUUCUGAAGUUAUGAGUAGGAUUGUUACCGUCAGCUGUUGCCAUAAAUAGAUAAACUUGUUAUCCUAAUUUUAUCUUGUUUUAAAUUCUGUCAAAUCUAACUUAUUCAGACCAAGUUUUUAGAAAUAUAUGAGUAGUG